GAUGAACGCUGGCGGCGUGCCUAAUACAUGCAAGUCGAGCGAACUGACGAGGAGCUUGCUCCUUUGACGUUAGCGGCGGACGGGUGAGUAACACGUAGGUAACCUACCUAUAAGACUGGGAUAACUUCGGGAAACCGGAGCUAAUACCGGAUAAUAUUUCGAACCGCAUGGUUCGAUAGUGAAAGAUGGCUUUGCUAUCACUUAUAGAUGGACCUGCGCCGUAUUAGCUAGUUGGUAAGGUAACGGCUUACCAAGGCAACGAUACGUAGCCGACCUGAGAGGGUGAUCGGCCACACUGGAACUGAGACACGGUCCAGACUCCUACGGGAGGCAGCAGUAGGGAAUCUUCCGCAAUGGGCGAAAGCCUGACGGAGCAACGCCGCGUGAGUGAUGAAGGUCUUCGGAUCGUAAAACUCUGUUAUUAGGGAAGAACAAACGUGUAAGUAACUGUGCACGUCUUGACGGUACCUAAUCAGAAAGCCACGGCUAACUACGUG
rnacentral:rRNA from 1 species